rnacentral:lncRNA from 1 species
UGGUGAUGAUCCUCUUCUCCUCCUCUAUCUUCUCCUUCUUUUCCUCUUCUCUUUUCCUUUCUUUCUUUUCCUUCCUCUCUUCUUCCCCCUGUUCCUCUGCUACGAACUGAGAGAGAGAGCAGUGAGGGCGAGUGUGAAGGAGUGAGAGAGAGAGAGAGAUACCCCUCUCUAAUACCCUCUCAUAUUGUAACAAAAUGCUAUUCAGUCCCUCAACUUUUCAUCUCUUACACAGCCUUCAC